UACGAAGGGGGCUAGCGUUGCUCGGAAUCACUGGGCGUAAAGGGUGCGUAGGCGGGUCUUUAAGUCAGGGGUGAAAUCCUGGAGCUCAACUCCAGAACUGCCUUUGAUACUGAAGAUCUUGAGUUCGGGAGAGGUGAGUGGAACUGCGAGUGUAGAGGUGAAAUUCGUAGAUAUUCGCAAGAACACCAGUGGCGAAGGCGGCUCACUGGGCUACACCUGACGCUGAGGCGCGAAAGCGUGGGGAGCAAACCGG
rnacentral:rRNA from 1 species